UAAGAAAUGUAAACUCUGAACUUUUAUUACACUUUCGCACUUUAAUUAUCUUUUAUUUUCUUUAGAUAUUUUCGGAGUCGUUACAAUGUAUUAAGAAUUGACAAUUAACCAGACCGUUCUCAUAUCCCGUCCAGUAAUGGGCACCAAAAACACCAUCGUUUCGAUACCCUGUCUGGUAUGAGGGUGAACUAAAUUUUACAAAACACUUAC
rnacentral:lncRNA from 1 species